rnacentral:lncRNA from 1 species
GCGAGAGACUUUUCUUCACUCUGAGAGAACCAACCCAAACACCGAUCUUUCCCAAGGCGACCUGUAUCACCAGGGCCAUUUCUUUGCCAGGCCACCGCCUGCCUGCUAGCCAGGAGCCCGGGGCAUCCCUGCAGGGAAUGGAAAUACUUGGAUACCAGCCCCGCAGCCGAGAAGACACAGAUAUUUGAAAAUUCAUGCGAAUGUGAAUGGCCGGGUAGACUCUGUGAAUUAAGAGAAUCGGUGUGUCAAUAUCGUGUGCGUCUGUGCACGUGUGUUUUCACUCACAAAUCUUCACUGAGCGUUACAGAUGUGGAUGGGUUCUUUUUCUCCUCUUCCUUUGGACUAAGAACGUUUGCAACCCACUGACUUUCAACACCAGCCUCCCAUCAGGGUGAGGGUGCACGGAGGUAGCCCUUCCUAGUCAGAAACUUCCGGCUGAGCUUUCUUCUGCUUAACACGGGAGCCUGGAUGAUCAGGAGUGGUCAAAACGUUGGUUUCUAGCUCCGCUUCUCGUAGAGGAGAUCCAACAUUGGAAAAGAAUUAUUAAACACGGGACUGACGUGUGAUGCUGCGCGGUGAUUUAUAAGCAGGGUUUAAAAAAAAAGGAAGUCAGCUAGUGACCUUGAACUUUCUCCCAGAGGUAAAGCUUCCUUCUCCAUAGGGUUCUGCGAGCGAAAUCGGCUGGUGACGGCCACCAUGGGAGAGAAAAGGGUCACUGAAACCGUUUCAGAUUGCUCUGUGUUCUGUGUUGUGUAGUUCCGAUGAGGAACUCGGGUUGCAAAAAUGCUGACUGCAAACCAAAGCUAGUGGCCGGCCUCGUCACCGGGAGCCUGGUGGAAAUGCACGUUCUCAGACCUCAGCACACAGCUUCUGAAUCAGAAUCUGCAUUGUAACAGGAUCCCCAGGACAUCUGUCGGCACAUGAAGGUUUAAUAAGCACUCGUCCACAGCAUCGGAUUCUGGGUGCCCGAGGGGCUCAGUCUUGAGGUCCUGAGCGUCCGACUUCGGUUUAGCUCAUGAUCUCCUGCUUUCUGAGUUCAAGCCCCGCAUCGGGCUCUUUGCUGUCAGCACAGAACCCACUUUGGGUCCUCUGUCUCCCUCUCUCUCUGUCUCUCUGUGUCUCUCAAGAAUAAAUAAACAGGAAAAAAUAAUAAUAGAGCA